UGGGGAAUAUUGGGCAAUGGGCGCAAGCCUGACCCAGCAACGCCGCGUGAAGGAAGAAGGCUUUCGGGUUGUAAACUUCUUUCUCAGGGACGAAGCAAGUGACGGUACCUGAGGAAUAAGCCACGGCUAACUACGUGCCAGCAGCCGCGGUAAUACGUAGGUGGCAAGCGUUAUCCGGAUUUACUGGGUGUAAAGGGCGUGUAGGCGGGAAAGCAAGUCAGAUGUGAAAACCAUGGGCUCAACCUGUGGCCUGCAUUUGAAACUGUUUUUCUUGAGUACUGGAGAGGCAUACGGAAUUCCUAGUGUAGCGGUGAAAUGCGUAGAUAUUAGGAGGAACACCAGUGGCGAAGGCGGUCUGCUGGACAGCAACUGACGCUGAGGCGCGAAAGCGUGGGGAGCAAACAGGAUUAGAUACCC
rnacentral:rRNA from 1 species